GGAUUGUGGCUCAGUGGUAGAGCACUUGCCUAACAUGUUCGAGGCCCUGGGUUCGAUCCUCAGCACCA
rnacentral:tRNA from 1 species